rnacentral:tRNA from 1 species
GCCUGGGUGGCUCAGUUGGUUAAGCGUCUGACUUCAGCUCAGCUCGUGAUCUCAAGGUUUGUGGGUUCGAACUCCAUGUCAGGCU